ensembl:lncRNA
GGGAAGAAGAGGUCAGUGGCUGGUGAGUAGUUAGUAGUGGUCAGAGGUUGGUGAGUAGUUAGUAUGGAUCAGUGGUUGGUGAGAAGUUAGUAGGGGUCAGUGGUUGGUGAGAAGUUAGUAGUGGUCGGUGGUUGGUGAGCAGUUAGAAGUGGUCAGUGGUCAGUGGUUGGUGAGUAGUUAGUAGGGGUCAGUGGUUGGUGAGUAUUUGGUAGUUAGUAGUGGUCAGUGGUUGGUGAGUAGUUAGUAGGGGUCAGUGGUUGGUGAGUAUUUAGUAGGGGUCAGUGGUUGGUGAGUAGUUAGAAGUGGUCAGAGGUUGGUGAGUAGUUAGUAGUUAGUAGUGGUCAGUGGCUGGUGAGUAGUUAGUAGUUAGUAGUGGUCAGAGGUUGGUGAGUAGUUAGUAGUGGUUGUGGUUGCUAGUUGGUGAGUAGUUAGUAGAGGUCAAUGAUUGGUGAGUAGUUAGUAGGGGUCAGUGGUUGGUUAGUAGUGGUCAGAGGUUGGUGAGUAAUUAGUAGUGGUCAGUGGUUGGUGAGUAGUUAGUGUGGGUCAGUGGUUGGUGAGAAGUUAGUAGGGGUCAGUGGUUGUUGGGAAAGUUAGUAGUGGUCAGUGGUUGGUGAGUAGUUAGUAGGGGUCAGUGGUUGGUGAGUAUUUGGUAGUUACUAGUGGUCAGUGGUUGGUGAGUAGUUAGUAGUGGUCAGUGGUUGGUGAGUAGUUAGUAUGGGUCAGUGGUUGGUGAGUAGUUAGAAGUGGUCAGUGGUCAGUGGUUGGUGAGUAGUUAGUAGUUAGUAGUGGUCAGAGGUUGGUGAGUAGUUAGUAGUGGUCAGAGGUUGGUGAGUAGUUAGUAGUGGUCAGUGGUCAGAGGUUGGUGAGUAGUUAGUAGUGGUCAGUGGUUGCUGGUUGGUGAGUAGUUAGUAGUGGUCAGUGGUUGGUGAGUAGUUAGUAGGGGUCAGUGAUUGGUGAGUAUUUAGUAGGGGUCAGUGGUUGGUGAGUAUUUAGUAGUGGUCAGAGGUUGGUGAGUAGUUAGAAGUGGUCAGUUGUCAGUGGUGGUGAGUAGUUAGAAGUGGUCAGAGGUUGGUGAGUAGUUAGUAGUGUUCAGUGGUUGGUGAGUAGUUAGUAGUGGUCAGUGGGCGUGGUUGGUGAGUAGUUAGUAGUGGUCAGAGGUUGGUGAGUAGUUAGUAGGGGUCAGUGGUUGGUGAGUAGUUAGUAGUGGUCAGUGGUUGGUGAGUAGUUAGUAGUGGUCAGAGGUUGGUGAGUAGUUAGUAGUGGUCAGAGGUUGGUGAGUAGUUAGUAGUGGUCAGUGGUUGGUGAGUAGUUAUUUGGGGUCAAUGUUUGCUGGUUGGUGAGUAGUUAGUAGUGGUCAGUGGUUGCUGGUUGGUGAGUAGUUAGUAGUGGUCAGUGGUUGCUGGUUGGUGAGUAGUUAGUAGUGGUCAGUGGUUGCUGGUUGGUGAGUAGUUAGUUGUGGUCAGUGGUUGGUGAGUAGUUAGAAGUGGUCACUGGUCAGUGGUUGGUGAGUAGUUAGUAGUGGUCAGAGGUUGGUGAGUAGUUAGUAGUGUUCAGUGGUUGGUGAGUAGUUAGUAGUGGUCAGUGAGUAGUUAGUGGUGGUCAGUGGUUGGUGAGUAGUUAGUAGUGGUCAGUGGUCAUGGUUGGUGAGUCGUUAGUAGUGGUCAGAGGUUGGUGAGUAGUUGGUGAGUAGUUAGUAGUGGUCAGUGGUUGGUGAGUAGUUAGUAGUGUUCAGUGGUUGCUGGUUGGUGAGUAGUUAGUAGGGGUCAGUGGUUGCUGGUUGGUGAGUAGUUAGUAGUGGUCAGUGGUUGGUGAGUAGUUAGUAGUUAGUAGUGGUCAGAGGUUGGUGAGUAGUUAGUAGUGGUCAGAGGUUGGUGAGUAGUUAGUAGGGGUCAGUGGUUGCUGGUUGGUGAGUAGUUAGUAGUGGUCAGUGGUUGCUGGUUGGUGAGUAGUUAGUAGUGGUCAGUGGUUGCUGGUUGGUGAGUAGUUAGUAGUGGUUGCUGGUUGGUGAAUAGUUAUUUGGGGUCAGUGGUUGCUGGUUGGUGAGUAGAUAGUUUGGGUCAAUGUUUGCUGGUUGGUGAGUAGUUAGUAGUGGUCAGUGGUUGCUGGUUGGUGAGUAGUUAGUAGUGGUCAGUGGUUGGUGAGUAGUUAGUAGUGGUCAGUGUUUGCUGGUUGGUGAGUAGUUAGUAGUGGUCAGUGGUUGCUGGUUGGUGAGUAAUUAUAAGUGGUCUGUGGUUGAUGAGUAGUGAGUAGUGGUUAGUAAGUGGACACACAACGUAACUCCUUUGUGAUAGUAGAGCUACCCAGGGCUGUGA